GACGAACGCUGGCGGCGUGCCUAAUACAUGCAAGUUGAGCGAUGAAGAUUGGUGCUUGCACCAAUUUGAAGAGCAGCGAACGGGUGAGUAACGCGUGGGGAAUCUGCCUUUGAGCGGGGGACAACAUUUGGAAACGAAUGCUAAUACCGCAUAACAACUUUAAACAUAAGUUUUAAGUUUGAAAGAUGCAAUUGCAUCACUCAAAGAUGAUCCCGCGUUGUAUUAGCUAGUUGGUGAGGUAAAGGCUCACCAAGGCGAUGAUACAUAGCCGACCUGAGAGGGUGAUCGGCCACAUUGGGACUGAGACACGGCCCAAACUCCUACGGGAGGCAGCAGUAGGGAAUCUUCGGCAAUGGACGAAAGUCUGACCGAGCAACGCCGCGUAAGUGAAGAAGGUUGUCGGAUCGUAAAACUCUGUUGGUAGAGAAGAACGUUGGUGAGAGUGGAAAGCUCAUCAAGUGACGGUAACUACCCAGAAAGGGACGGCUAACUACGUG
rnacentral:rRNA from 1 species